CAUGAUGGUAAACUCGCUUCUAUC
rnacentral:siRNA from 1 species